rnacentral:rRNA from 1 species
GAUGAACGCUGGCGGCGUGCCUAAUACAUGCAAGUCGAGCGAACAGACGAGGAGCUUGCUCCUCUGACGUUAGCGGCGGACGGGUGAGUAACACGUGGAUAACCUACCUAUAAGACUGGGAUAACUUCGGGAAACCGGAGCUAAUACCGGAUAAUAUAUUGAACCGCAUGGUUCAAUAGUGAAAGACGGUUUUGCUGUCACUUAUAGAUGGAUCCGCGCCGCAUUAGCUAGUUGGUAAGGUAACGGCUUACCAAGGCAACGAUGCGUAGCCGACCUGAGAGGGUGUCCGGCCACACUGGAACGGAGACACGGUCCAGACUCCUACGGGAGGCAGCAGUAGGGAAUCUUCCGCAAUGGGCGAAAGCUUGACGGAGCAACGCCGCGGGAGUGAUGAAGGUCUUCGGAUCGUAAACCUCUGUUAUUGGGGAAGAACAAAUGUGUAAGUAACUAUGCACGUCUUGACGGUACCUAAUCAGAAAGCCACGGCUAACUACGUG